rnacentral:lncRNA from 1 species
CUGGACUGGUUUACAUACAACAUUCUUCAUUUAGGAAUAGGUAAAGACCUCCUUUUUCAGCAGUCAGCAGAUCAAGACCUCGGCUGUUCUGGAGGACAACUGUGGCUAGGGAACUUACCUGAGCUUGAAGAAGGGAUAGCGAUUGAGUUAAUUCUGCAGUGGUAGCAGAGACAUCAUUAGAGUGGCUACAGAAGGUGAGGAUUGAAGUGGUAAGGCCUGCUAUGCCUGUGCCGAUACCGUAGAAAUUCCUAGCCCUACAAGUAAGGGGAUCAACGGAAUGACCCACUUGUAUUGUGUUGGGACCACAAGGGGAACAAGGAGGCUUUUGUCUCUGUUGGCAAACUGAAUUUUGGCAGUAAGGAAAAGUAGGGUAAAAGCGUCUGUCCAGUUGGUGGGAAGGCAGAUGUAAGAAGAAGAACCACAGAGGAAAAGAGUCUGUGGCUUAGACAGAACUGCAAAUGUAAACUGAAAAGGUUACGAAAGGAGAGAGCAACCACAUUUGUCAAAGAGAUUUUUUUAUGCCAUGGGCCAGUAUGAUCGUCACAGCAGGCAACAUACCUGGGUUCAAGCAAUUCUCCUGCCUCAGCCUCCUAAGUAGCUGGGAUGUCCUCCUGUAUCUCAAAAGAACAUGUGGUAUGUACCAUCAGGUACACACACCUGGAGAUUAUCAGUCUAGCAAAAGUAAUCAACAUCCACAUAGGAGGGAAAAGCAAAUCAACAAUACCAGAAAUGGAAUUUAUCCAUCAUCAGUCCCAGAUCUCUGAGAUAUUGUGAUUUUUACAAAUUGAAGGUUUGCAUCAACCCUGCUUCAAGCAAGUCUAUUGGCACCAUUUUCCCAACAGCUUGUGUUCAUAUUUUGGUAAUUCUGAUAAUAUUUCAAAUGUUGCUAUUAUAUCGAUAGUGGUGAUCUCUAAUGUGUGAUCAC